AUGUUUCUACUCCGUCUGGACCUCCCUUUCUAUCGUUCAAGGCGAUAACCUUAGCGACCGACUCGAGAUGAGCGUUGCUUUUGCUUUGAUUAUUUUUUCCAGUUUGGUGAUUGUGGUUUGUGUCCUUCAUCAAGCUUUUCCUUUCUGUGUUCUCUGUUUUUGCUGAGUAAAUGAUUAAGUGUUCUAUCGAUAAUGAGUGACCGAGUGUUUUAUUGAAUCAUCUUUUAUGAACACAGGCACAUUAGAAGAACUGAAUAUGGCUGAUGAUGAGGGAACCGAAUGGCUGCAAGAACUAUUGCACGAUGUCCAGCUUUCCCAAUUCUUCACCAGGAUACGGGAUGAUCUGCAAGUCACAAGACUGCACCACUUUGAUUAUGUGCAAUCAGAGGAUCUUGAAAAGAUAGGUCUUGGAAAGCCAGGCAUCAGGCGUCUGUUAGAUGCUGUUAAGAAAAAGAGAACCACACAAUGGAAGAAAAGCUUGAUGACCAAGAUCAGACCUGGGGGUAGUACCAAAAGUAAUAAAAGAUCCUCUCAGCCAGUUGAAGGUUCCUCUGUAUUAACAUGUCUGAUUCAAGACAAAGAUGUAAUGCUAUCGAUAAAAUUGGGAGAUGGUAGUUUUGGUGUUGUUAGAAAGGGAGAAUGGACAUCUCCUUCAGGUAGAACAUUGCCGGUUGCAGUGAAGGUUCUUAAAGCAGAUGCUUUAACGCAGCCAAGCGUCAUAGAAGAUUUUGUUUCUGAGGUUCAAGCAAUGCAUACACUGGAUCAUCAUAAUCUCAUCAGAUUGUAUGGUGUGGUAUUGUCACAACCAAUGAUGAUGGUAACGGAACUUGCACCUCUUGGAGCAUUGCUGGACUAUUUGCGGAAACAGGGUGGCCGGAUUUCAGUAUUAACCAUCUGCAAUUACGCGUUGCAAGUAGCCACCGGAAUGGCGUAUUUAGAAGCGAAACGUUUUCUACACCGCGACCUGGCUUGCAGAAACGUUCUUCUGAGUACAGUGGACAAAGUGAAAAUCGGUGAUUUCGGCCUAAUGAGGGCUCUACCUCAACAGGAAGACUGUUACGUGAUGACGGAACACAAGAAAGUGCCGUUUCCCUGGUGUGCACCCGAAUCUCUCAAAGCGCGUCAAUUUAGCCACGCAUCCGACGUUUGGAUGUUCGGUGUGACGUUGUGGGAGAUGCUCACGUUCGGCGAGGAGCCCUGGGUUGGUUUGAACGGGUCAGAAAUUUUGAGAAAGAUCGACAGAGAGGGAGAACGAUUACACGAGCCGGAAGCAACGCCACCGGUCAUGUAUCAGCUGAUGUUGCGUUGCUGGGCUCGAGAACCGUCAGAAAGACCGACCUUCGCUUCCUUGCGAACAUCCCUCACGGGUAUGGUCCCAGCUGUAAUGAAGGCGGUGAAUCAUUUCGAGGAGACCGAUAAAAUGACCAUCGAACAGGGUGACCAGAUAGUCAUUUUGGAUGGUCGGCCAGAAAAUUAUUGGUGGAAGGGUCAGAAUCAAAGAACUUUCCAAAUCGGACUGUUCCCUCGUUGCUUAGUUGAUCCUAUGAGACGCAAGCAACCGGAAGACAUCAGUAAACCGCUCGAAAAUUCUUUCAUUCAUACUGGACACGGUGCACCUUUCGGUAAAAGCUGGGGGAGUCCUAUUUACAUAGACGACGUGUAUCUGCGAAAUCCUAUGGAACCUCCCGACGUUGUAGGGGUCGCAACGGCGCCCGACAGUCACUUGAAAAAGAAAUUCUCCUGCGGCACUCCGCGAUCGAGGAAGCAGUUCAAUUACACGAAGCUUCAGAACGAUAUACGAGCUAGUCCUGUGAAAUCAACGAACACCUCGGCUCCUAGCAGCAGCCAAGAAGGCAGUUUGAUCGAUUUAUCUCCGGAGGAGAUAGUGAACACGAACGUGGCACAGUCUGAUACUGCCUGUCGUCGGGUAGUCAAUAUCCUGGACGAACCUAUCGACGACAUGGAACGACAGCAGACGAACUGGCAGGAGGAUGAUCCCCGGACUUAUGCCAACUUUCCGGGGAACGUCGAUCCUGCUUAUUCGGAUCCUUUCGACACGUCCUCGGUGUUUAUGAAGCUUCCGCACUCGAGGUAUUACAGCCAUGUUCCGUCUGACGUUAGCAGUAGAUACUUUAAGACCCAGACGUACGGGAAUGUACAGAACCAAGACGCCAGCAGCAGUCAAGGCAGUGCAAACUACUUUGCCCCAGAAUCUGGGUCAGACGUGAAUCAUUAUUCUAUAAACCUGAGCAAAGAGAACAGAAACGACAGUAUUAAUUUGAACGUGAACGUCGACGCUGAAGAGAGUAACGCAUACAGUCAGAACCACUAUACCGAAAUAGACAAACCUAGUCCUCCCAUGCCGAAUUGGUCUAACUGGCCAGAGGAUAUGCAAACAGAGUCGCAGACGUACGUAAACGUGGCCAGCCGGAAUUUACCCAGUGCCGAGGUACCUCCCCCUCCACCUGCCGCCCCUAACGAGAGUCCUGUGAAGCCAAAAUCGAACCAUGACCUAGCACAAACUCUGAGCGAGCUGACAAUAAACGCUCACAACGUUUCUCCUAAAAAGUUGGACCCAGCCUUCCUAGCCGAGUUGGAGAAACAUCUGGGCGAGAAGGAGGCAAGCAAGAAUAUGAACGCCAGCCAGCAAAAUCCGGAGUCCUCCGACCCAUACUCUUCCGUGAACAAGUUACAAGAGAAUACGAUCCCGGCGUUGAGACCUCCACCUCAAUCUGCGAAACCCAAGUCUCCACAGAUCGACUACAGGAGCAACAAUCUACCCAGCAAGGUACAGAACUCCUGGCAGUCGAAGACUUCGAAUAUUCAACAACCUCGUACGCAGCCUGAACAACGAGUCCUCGAGACGAGCACCGAGCAAAUGGUCGGCCAAAUUUGGCAGCAGUCGCAAACGCCUCAGCUCGGUACCUACGGUAAUACUCAGGCGAACUUGAACCUGUUACAAAUCGCGCCCAGUAACUUAAGCAACCAGUGCAACGUGUCCAAGACGAACUUCAACCACGGGCAGAACUCGUUGCCCGCGGUUAAUCAGGCUGCCCUUCCGAACCCUCCUAUAUCGAAUGCGAGCCACGGGAUAACUCAGAUCCAGAACGACCUUCAACAAGCACACUCCAGUAACGUCGUACCUAAGCCUGCCAGUGUGGUGUUCUCGGAGCAGGUGUACGCGGAGCUGAAGCAGACGGUGCCAAAUCUGGACCAGUUGUCCCAGAACGAGUUCAACACUCUGUACAAUAAGACUGUCCAACAGAAUAUCCUCAGGAACCACUACGCCACUAGCGGAUCGACCGCCUCGAAUUCGACCUGCAACCUAAGUCACAACCACCAUCCAGAAGGAACAGCCAGCACCUCCCAAGUCCGUUCUGCUCCAGCAAGAAACCUCUUGGUCCAAAGUCAUCCCUGCGACUUCAGUCCCCAUUUGAAGCAACCUCCCGUGUACAAUCCCCCUCCUCCCGCCUGGAGUCCUAUCAAGUCCGUCCAGAACGGACUGGUUCAGGUCCAGAACGUCGCGGCCAAGUCCAAUUUAGCGAGCAAUCUGGCGACCAAUUCUAAUCUGCUGCAACUAACGCACACGAACGUACCUCAAGAGGGCGUCGUGACGCCACAAACCUCCGUGACGCGAGUUCUGCCUCCUCAGAUGAACGAGACGGUCGUUAAUACUCAAUUAGCUCCCUCCGCGUCCGCGUACCCCUCCGGUGUCAGCCCCCCUUUGACAGCCGCCUCUCAGCAGCUGGUCAUGUCCCUCAACGACGAGUUCCGAGCAAACAAAGUGAUGAAGGUGCAACGAGAGGCGACCGACGCGUCGCAACAGGAAAUACUCACCGCGCUGCAGGCCACUGGCUGGGACACUAAUCAGGCGGCCAAACAGAUCCUGAAGGACAGGCAGGCUAAGAUCGAAUCCCUUUUCAGAUUAGGCUUGGCAGACAGACAGCAGUGCGAGGGUGCUCUGAAGCAGACUGAAUACGACGUAGAUUUAGCGGCCUCCGUCUUGUUAGACCAGGUCAGAUGAAGACAGACUCAACCGUCACGAAACCAAUACUUGAAAAUAGUGUAAAAUAACUGUAGCGAUAUAUAUACCGUGUUAAACGUAAUGUAUAUUUAUAAACGAUAGCCGUACACGCGUAAGCACGAGGCUACGAGCUGCAAGCAUAGAAAGUUAGACAGGUGCCUCUUCGAGGGUUUCUAAAUGAUCGAGAAACAAUUGCAUUCCAGAAUGAAGAGAAUACUUCCGUAGCGACGUUGCUUUUUAGCUAGCGUUAUUACAUUGAAACGGACAGAGGUGGCUGAUAUUCGACAAAAUUUCCAUUUUUCUUUUUAUGUCGAAUUACUCUUUCAUUUCUUAUAGAGUCGAUGUCUAAUCUUCGUGUGGAUAGUCAAGUUCCUGGAAAAAUGUCACAAAAUUGAGAUUCUUUGGACACUUAGCUUUUGGGACUACCAGUUAGUUUUUGCAAAAUGUUAAGUAUGAAGAGUUUAGGAACUUAAUUACCCAUAGGAGGAUUAGUUGUAAAUUUUGGAAGAAAUAUUUUUUGAUAGAAUUUUGUUCAGUACACCUCCGUUCACUCGUGUUGGAAAUAAGAUACAGGGUGUUUCAGAAAUCAGUUUUAUUUUUGAAUAUCUUCCACUAAUUUCACGAACUGACUUCGCAUAAAGAUGACUGCCAAAUAUGGGACUCACUUUUGAGACACUCUGUAUUUAGCAGUUUCACCUCCCGUUCAAUUUUUACCGAACGUCUUCCCCUGCGUCAUCCACGAGUGAACAAAACGAUCGUAACAGAUACUAUAUUUUCGUCCAAUAGUUGAGAAGUUCUUCGCGUCGGUGAACCGUUUAUAAUUGUGGCUACGUGACCGGAAGUGAAACGGGUCACUGUGUUCCGUUCAGCUGAAUUCUAUGUAAAAGUCUUCUCUUUCUUAUAUGGUUCAUACAUAUUCAUGACAUAUUGCCGUGAAAGUACUCGUAAACUUUUUAUGAUUCCGCUAAGGUAGAUAGAAAACGAUAGUGUCAUCGAUUACGAGACAUGAAUGUUAUUACUGCAACUAUUGCUUUGAAUCAUUAACAUGCAGCAGACUUCUUUAGAAAAAUGGCAAUAUAAGGGAAGGACUUUUAUCAUUUAUUGUAAAAUUCUUUAAGAAAAAUGGCAAUAUAAGGGAAGGACUUUUAUCAUUUACUGUAAACUUCUUUAGGAAGAAUUGCAAUAUAAGGGAAGGACUUUUAUCAUUUACUGUAAACUUCUUUAGGAAAAAUGGCAAUAUAAGGAGAGGACUUUUGUAGUUUACUGUGAACUUCUUUAGGAAAAGUGGCAGUAUAAGGGAACGGACUUUUAUUAUUUACUGUGAACUUCUUUAGGAAAAAUGGCAAUAUAAGGGAAGGAUUUUUAUCAUUUACUGUAAUGUUGAGAGUUGUAUGUUUGUGAGUGGUGGGGAUACUAAGAAAUGUAUACAUUUAUCACAUCACUAUGUGACCACUAGGGAUCCUAGUGUACUGUUCCCUAAAGAGGAAGAAGUCUCAUACUGUAAUGAGUGAUGUAGUCUCUCCUUAUAUCGCCAUUUUCUCUAAGUCCAACACUUAUAAUCUGUAGAAGUCAAAAGUUUAAAGAUGACAAAACUUGUAACGUAUUUUACCAAUUUCUUGACGCGAAGACUUCAGUCUCUCCUUAUAUCGCCAUUUUCUCGAAGCAAGUCCAGCACCUCUGUACAAGUGAAAAGUCGAAAAGUGACAAAACUUCUAAUUUUGACCAACUUAUCGACGCGAAGACUUCAGCUCCGACACUAGCGCCACAGUGGAGUUUCCGAGAGGCACUUCACGUCGGUACGAAGUAGGUGCUGUCUCAAAGCCGGCCAAAAACGAAAUCUGGCAUCGUGACAGCCUUAAACGAACACGCUCACGAGUGUUUUCCGCGACGCAAGCAGCGGCUGAAAGUCUCGAAUUUUUCGUAAAAAAACGCGAUUCGAUCACAGCCGGAAAAUGUUGCGCGACGAAACGUUGAAUUUUUGUAACUGUGAUAUGCGUUGCUAAAGGCUCUAGGCGGUGAGAACGUGAAAAAACAGAGCACUCUCUGUUGUCCUUUCUUCUUUUUUUUUUUUUUUUAGGGAUAGACUUGUAGAUGGCAAUCGUGUGUCUAAGAGUGUACAUAGCCAGGUGACUGAGUUAAGCUUAUUUCUUUUUAUGGUACGUUUAUUUCCGGUCGAUCGCGUGGUCAGGAACGAUUUCGAGCGUAAUUGGUUUGCGUGCUUCGAUUGUUUCGCUCAACUUUCGCGGCAGCCGGGCAGAGAACAUUGUUUUAUGCAGAAAGGAACGUUGGGUUCACUUAUUUUUACUGGGUAAAUGUGUUUGUGUGUGUGUAGGUAGAUCUCUAAAUUCUUAUGUCCUUAAAUUCCUAUGAUUUUGAAUUUUUGUAUCCCUAAGUUCCUGUAUCUUUAAUUUCCUGUAUCGUUAAUUCCCUAUACUGAUAAAUUCCUGUAUCGUUAAAUUUAUGUUCUCUUAAAUUCCUGUAUUCCUAAAUUCCUAUAUUUUUGAAUUUUUGUAUCCUUAAGUUUUUGUAUCUUUAAAUUCCUGUAUCCUUAAUUUCCUGUACUCUUAAAUCCCUGUAUCGAUAAAUUCCUGUACGCUUAAAUUCUUGUAUUCCUAAAUUUCUAUAUCUUCAAAUUUCUAUAUCCUUAAGUUUCUUUGUCUUUAAAUUCCUGUAUCACUAAUUUCCUGUACUCUUAAAUUCCUGUAUCCUUAAUUUCCUGUACUCUUAAAUCCCUGUAUCGAUAAACUCCUGUAAAUUCCUGUACGCUUAAACUCCUGUAUCCCUAAAUUGCUAUAUCUCUAAAUUUCUAUAUCCUUAGGUUUCUAUAUUUUUAAAUUCCUGUAUCCUUAAUUUCCUGUACCCUUAAAUUCCUGUAUCUCUAAUUUCCUAUACUCUUAAAUUCCCGUAUCCUCAAUUUCCUAUAUUUCUAAAUACCUAUACCCCAAUAUUCUUGAACUUCCAGAUCACUAUAUUCCCCCCUCCUAGAUUUCCAAAUCUCUAUAUUCUGCAAUUCUCAUAUCCCCAGAUCUCUAACCUGUUUAUCACUAUAUCCCAGUAUCCUUAAAUCCCUAUAUGUAUCCUUGAAUCCCUAUAUCUCCAGAUCUCUAACUCCUUAUAUUCCUAAACCCCUAUAUUCCUAUAUUUCUAGCCAUUUAAGGCCACAUAUCCCUAGUUCCUUUAAAUUUAAAAUUCCCGCGCAGGUGGCGCCCUAGUAUUAGUUAAAUAAGCACCGCCCCGUGGAGGCGUGGCACAAGGUGGGAAUAAAACAGUAUAUCUAAAAAUAUAUUCCGAAAAUAUAUUUUGCAGCUAACAGUUUUCUGAUCAGUUUCAUAAGAAUCCCCAACAAAUUACUAAGCUUCAAAAUUCCCACGGUUGCAAGAUUAUGAGACAUUGCUACCGGAAUUCGUUGCAAGACUCCCCGGAAUCCUCUCGAGGAACAUGACUCACUCGAGAUUCCUUUCUGCGUAACAUCGUUCCAGAAACGAAACACUGUCGUUGUCGCGAGAACCCUGUAUUUUCUAAACGUCAGUCAGAGUCACUAUUUUUUUAGCCGAUAGAACACUGACAGUGUUUACAGGUUUCUUGCCCGAUUGCGGCUUCGAGGCACGAGAAGUGCACAAUGUCCACUUGCGAUUAUCUAAUUGUAGGCUCUCUAAUUUGUUCCCCGAAAGUUGGACGUUUUUUGAUCUCCCUUCUGUGUAUCAACAACGGUCCACGGGACCCCGUGUGUCUUGGUCUCGUGGACACAGUAAAUGUUCGAUAUUCAAGAAUAAAUACAUAAUGAACGAGAACCGGGGUUUUCAUUCGUUGAUUACGCUUCUGGGUUUGAUGGCACAUGUUUGGGAAUUUAGUGCCUGAGCUGGUUUGAAGCUUGCGAUUUUGCCUGUAUUUGAUAUGUAUCCAAAUUAGGAUUCUAGAAAGUACAAUGCGUUAACUCUAAAUAUAUCGCCUUGAAUACGCUUAUGCAUGUUAAAGAAUAUUACAUGUUGAGAAUUAAAAGAUAUUACUAUUUCUUAUAGUUUGAAUUUGUCAAGCUGGAGUGACAAAUUUGCAGUCUAUCUUCAAAUUUGAUAGCAGGUGAUCGGCAAUAUAUGGAGAGUUUACUAAAGAUAUUACAAUUUUUGAUAUUUUCUAAUUUGUCAAGUUAUGGAGUGUCAAAUUUGCAGUUUCUACAGCUUCAAAUUUGAUAACAGGUGAUCGGCAAUAUAUCGAGAGUUUACUAAAGAUAUUACAAUUUUUUAUAUUUUCUAAUUUGUCAAGAUAUGCAUUGUCAAAUUUGCACUUUCUACAGCUCCAAAUUUGAUAGCAGGUAAUCGGCAAUAUAACGAGAGUGUACUAACAGAUAAUAUAAUUUUUUAUCAUUCGUAAUUAUAUGUACCUUUGCAGUGUCAAAUUUGCAGUCUCUGAAACUUCAAAUUUGAUAGCAUGUGUUCGGCAAUAUAACGAGAGUGUACUAAAAGAUAUAAUUUUUGAUAAUUCGUAAUUAUAUGUAGCCUUGCAGUAUCAAAUUUGCAGUCUCUGAAUCUUCAAAUUUGAUAACAGACAAUCGGCAAUAUAACGAGAGGCACUCUCCAUUUCCACUGAAACCUUCCAAAUAUGUUCUCAGAUCUUAUAAUUUAGUACUACUUUCAUCUUCCAAACCUUGAUUUAAACUUUAAACAAUAUUACCUUGAACCCUAACUAUAUUACCACCUAAUUACACUAGUGUUCAAAAGAGUACAUUUGCAUAAUAUCAACGUCGGAUAAAACUAAGAAUCGAAACGGAAAUAUACGUAAAGAGCGUUUGUAUCUGGAGAUCAAGGAAAGUGCAAGAUUCCGGCUUUCUAGCGGUCUCAGUUUUCGAUAGACCGGAUCGUGGUGUCUCAUGAAUAUUCAAGAUCGCGAACGGAAAGCAAAACCGUCGGAUAUUUUCAUGGUAACGACCAACUUUAUAUCUCUUCUGGAACGCAUCAAAUAGGAUCCGUUCCCAUUUUCUUUCGAGUACGAGAUUAAUUUUUAGCCAGCACGUACUGCUGUCUUAUUUGUGAUCGUAGCGUUAUAUUUACUUUAUAGCUGCCUUGUGAUUUGAUUGAUAUCGAUAUUGUAUUAUGUUUACCGAUCAAUUAUAUUUUGUACACUGAUUUCA
rnacentral:misc_RNA from 1 species